CUGGCGGCGUGCCUAAUACAUGCAAGUCGAACGGCUUUUCUAUGGAAGCUUGCUUCCACUGAGAAGAUAGUGGCGAACGGGUGAGUAACACGUGGGUAACCUGCCCAUAAGAGGGGGAGUAACAUCCGGAAACGGGUGCUAAUACCGCAUAGUUUUCUUGAUCGCAUGAUUGGGAAAGGAAAGACGGCCUUUGUGCUGUCGCUUAUGGAUGGACCCGCGGCGUAUUAGUUAGUUGGUGAGGUAACGGCUCACCAAGACGAUGAUACGUAGCCGACCUGAGAGGGUGAUCGGCCACAUUGGGACUGAGACACGGCCCAAACUCCUACGGGAGGCAGCAGUAGGGAAUCUUCCGCAAUGGACGAAAGUCUGACGGAGCAACGCCGCGUGAGUGAAAGAAGGUUUUCGGAUCGUAAAACUCUGUUGUCAGAGAAGAACAAGUUGGAGAGUAACUGCUCCAGCCUUGACGGUAUCUGACCAGAAAGCCACGGCUAACUACGUGCCAGCCGCCGC
rnacentral:rRNA from 1 species